rnacentral:rRNA from 1 species
CACGCCGCGUGAGCGAUGAAGGCCUUCGGGUCGUAAAGCUCUGUUGUUAGGGAAGAACAAGUACCAGAGUAACUGCUGGUACCUUGACGGUACCUAACCAGAAAGCCACGGCUAACUACGUGCCAGCAGCCGCGGUAAUACGUAGGUGGCAAGCGUUGUCCGGAAUUAUUGGGCGUAAAGCGCGCGCAGGCGGUCCUUUAAGUCUGAUGUGAAAGCCCACGGCUCAACCGUGGAGGGUCAUUGGAAACUGGGGGACUUGAGUACAGAAGAGGAAAGUGGAAUUCCACGUGUAGCGGUGAAAUGCGUAGAGAUGUGGAGGAACACCAGUGGCGAAGGCGACUUUCUGGUCUGUAACUGACGCUGAGGCGCGAAAGCGUGGGGAGCAAACAGGAUUAGUC